UUGACCUCGGAUCACGAGGUACCCCCC
rnacentral:rRNA from 1 species